GGACGAACGCUGGCGGCGUGCUUAACACAUGCAAGUCGAACGGAAAGGCCCUGCUUUUGUGGGGCGCUCGAGUGGCGAACGGGUGAGUAACACGUGAGUAACCUGCCCUUGACUUUGGGAUAACUUCAGGAAACUGGGGCUAAUACCGGAUAGGAGCUCCUGCUGCAUGGUGGGGGUUGGAAAGUUUCGGCGGUUGGGGAUGGACUCGCGGCUUAUCAGCUUGUUGGUGGGGUAGUGGCUUACCAAGGCUUUGACGGGUAGCCGGCCUGAGAGGGUGACCGGCCACAUUGGGACUGAGAUACGGCCCAGACUCCUACGGGAGGCAGCAGUGGGGAAUAUUGCACAAUGGGCGGAAGCCUGAUGCAGCAACGCCGCGUGCGGGAUGACGGCCUUCGGGUUGUAAACCGCUUUCGCCUGUGACGAAGCGUGAGUGACGGUAAUGGGUAAAGAAGCACCGGCUAACUACGUG
rnacentral:rRNA from 1 species